UUUAAGGAUCUUUUACAGGUGAAGAAAGUCUCAGAUUGUCGUAGUAUCUCUUAGUUUAGUGUGACAUCGCUCAGUGGACUACAACUUCCACAAUACACGUCACUUACUUUACUGUGACAUCGCUCUGUGGACUACAACUCC